GACCAGACUCCUACGGGAGGCAGCAGUGGGGAAUAUUGCACAAUGGGGGAAACCCUGAUGCAGCAACGCCGCGUGAGUGAAGAAGUAUUUCGGUAUGUAAAGCUCUAUCAGCAGGGAAGAAGAUGACGGUACCUGAUUAAGAAGCCCCGGCUAACUACGUGCCAGCAGCCGCGGUAAUACGUAGGGGGCAAGCGUUAUCCGGAUUUACUGGGUGUAAAGGGCGUGUAGCCGGGCUGACAAGUCAGAUGUAAAAUCCGGGGGCUCAACCCCCGAACUGCAUUUGAAACUGUUGGUCUUGAGUGUCGGAGAGGCAGGCGGAAUUCCUAGUGUAGCGGUGAAAUGCGUAGAUAUUAGGAGGAACACCAGUGGCGAAGGCGGCCUGCUGGACGACAACUGACGGUGAGGCGCGAAAGCGUGGGGAGCAAACAGGAUUAGAUACCCCAGUACAA
rnacentral:rRNA from 1 species